rnacentral:rRNA from 1 species
GAUGAACGCUAGCUACAGGCUUAACACAUGCAAGUCGAGGGGUCUUUCUGGAGCUUGCUUUAGAAAGACGACCGGCGCACGGGUGAGUAACGCGUAUCCAACCUGCCCUUCAUAUGGUAUAGCCUCCCGAAAGGGAGAUUAAUCCCCGAAUAACAUAGAGUGAUUGCCUGAUUUCUCGUAUGAAAGCUCCGGCGAUGAAGGGUGGGGAUGCGUUCCAUUAGGUAGUAGGCGGGGGUAACGGCCCACCUAGCCGACGAUGGAUAGGGGUUCUGAGAGGAAGGUCCCCCACACUGGAACUGAGACACGGUCCAGACUCCUACGGGAGGCAGCAGUGAGGAAUAUUGGUCAAUGGGCGCAAGCCUGAACCAGCCAAGUAGCGUGAAGGAUGACUGCCCUAUGGGUUGUAAACUUCUUUUAUACGGGAACAAACGAAGGUACGUGUACCUUUUUGCGUGUACCGUAUGAAUAAGCAUCGGCUAACUCCGUG